CACACACACACACACAUAGCUACCGGUUGGCACGACGGCCGUCGAAUCGAUUGCCGAUCUUCGCAGUGUGGAAAAAAUGUUGCCAAAAAAGCACGGCUGGGUGAUCGGAGUGCGAGCGACGAUCCGAUACCUUACCACGAAAAGUGCCCCCAAGCCGGAGCUCAAGUACACCAGCACGGUCAAUCUGCCGAAAACCAAGUUCCCCGCCCGGCUGAGUGCGGAAAAACGGGCCCAGGUCGAGGAACAGCUACGCAAGAGCUGCUUGAGCGAACUGUACCACUGGAACAGGAGCGCGCUGCCGGCGGACAGUGAGUUCAUCCUGCACGAUGGUCCACCGUACGCGAACGGUGAUCUGCAUAUGGGCCAUGCGGUCAACAAAAUCCUGAAGGAUCUCAUACUGAAGCACAAAAUCAUUGGCGGCACGCGGGUACACUACGUGCCGGGCUGGGACUGUCACGGGUUGCCGAUCGAGCUGAAAGCGCUGGAAGCGUUCAACCGGAAAAGGGCCAAACCGGCGGGUUCAACCGGUCAAACGGCACGCGAAAUCCGCCACACGGCGCGACAGUUUGCGCUAGAAACGAUCGACAAGCAGAAGGCCGGGUUCGAAUCCUGGGGUGUGACCGGCGCUUGGCACGAUGCCGAGGGUUGCUAUCGAUCGCUCGACCCUGCCUACAUUAGUGCCCAGUUGCAGCUGUUUUACGAGCUGUAUGAGCGGAAACUGAUCUAUCGCGAUCUGAAACCCGUCUACUGGUCGCCCUCGUCCCAGUCUGCGUUGGCCGAGGCGGAACUGGAGUACGACGAGGCGCACCAGAGCCCUUCGCUGUACCUAAAGCUAGCGCUCGAGAAUGGAGGUGCCGACUGUGCAGCGCUUCGCAACCAUCGCCCGGAGGGGGGUGAGAUAUACGCCGCCAUCUGGACGACCACUCCCUGGACACUGCCCGCCAAUCAGGCCGUGUGCUACAAUCCCGCGCUCGAUUACUGCCUAGUACGCUCCGCUGCCGCCGGUGAGCUGCUGCUCGUGGGGAAGGAUCUCAUCGACUAUCUAGCCACGCAGCUGGAAACUGCACUGACGGUGCUGCAAACCAUACCCGGCCGGGAGCUGCACACUCUGAAGUACCACCAUCCGCUAAACCGCCAGACGGUGCUGCCAUUUUUACCGGCCGCCCACGUGAAGGCAGAAAAGGGUACCGGACUGGUGCACACGGCACCGGCCCACGGGCCGGAAGACUUUCUCGUGUGCUUGGAGCGCAAGAUAGCGAUCGAGAAUUUGAUCGAUGAGCGGGGCCGGUACACCGACCGGGCGCCUCCAUUCCUGCACGGGAAGUAUGCCCUCACCGAGGGCAACCAGCUGGUGACGGAGGCACUCGCCGGCUCUACGCUCAAACUAACCACCCUCGUGCAUUCGUACCCGAUCGAUUGGCGCACGAAACAACCGGUCAUGCUGCGGGCCAGCGAUCAGUGGUUCAUCGAUACCGACAGCCUGAAGCAGCGCGCGCUGGAGGAAAUCAAAUCGGUCGACAUCUAUCCGCGCACGUCGUCCGACGUGAGCAAGAAGGUGAUCGAAGGCCAGCUGCGCAAACGGCCGUACUGGUGCAUUUCGCGCCAGCGUGCCUGGGGCGUACCGAUUCCCGCGCUGUACGACACGGUGACGAAGCAACCGAUCGUUAGCGGACCGCUGAUUGCCGCCAUCGAUGCACGGCUGCAGAAGGAAGGGAGCGUAGACUUCUGGUGGACGGCACCGGUGGAGGAGCUCGUACCGGCGGCAGUGCUGCAGGAGCUCGGUCUCACCCCCGACCGGGUGACGAUGGGCAGGGACAUUCUCGACAUCUGGUUCGAUUCGGGCGUUUCGUGGCUGACCGUGUUGGGGAAGGAGCGCGUCGCCGACCUGUACCUGGAGGGUGUGGAUCAGUUUACCGGCUGGUUCCAGUCGUCCCUGCUGACCAGUGUGGCGGCCCGCGGCAAAGCGCCGUACCGGGCCAUCUUUGUGCACGGCUUUGCGGUGGACGAGCACGGCAUGAAGAUGUCGAAAUCGCUCGGCAACGUGAUCUGCCCGCAGCAGUUCGCAAAGCAGUACGGUUGCGAUGCGCUACGGUGGUGGGUGUGUGCGCACGCCAUACAGAACACCUCGAUUCCGGUCAGCCACAAGCUGCUCGGCUCGUCGGCGGAGAGCGUGCAGAAGCUGCGCGGCAUUUUAAAGUUUCUGCUCGGCGUGGUGGCGCCCCGUGGUCCGGAGGAAGGCAAGCCAUCGCCUGCCAUUGUGCUCGAUGCGUCGCCGCACAUCGAUCGAUACUUUCUGCACGAGCUGGAAGGCUUCCAUCGCCAGGCGUUCGAGCUGUACGACUCGUACCAGCACAACAGGGCGACGGCGGUCAUACUUAACUUCUGCCUGUCGACACUGUCCGGGCUGUAUCUGCACGUGAUCAAGGACCGGCUGUACUGUGGGUCGCCCGAGCAGCACAGCCAUUUGAGGGCGAUCCUCGACCACACCUAUCGCACGCUGGCACAAGUGCUGUGGCCGAUCGUACCGUUCCUGGUCGAAGAGAGCUGGACAUUUUAUGAGCAAGAUUAUUUCUACAAAUCCAAGCCACAAACGCAGCAAAGUGUUUGCCGGAGUGGAGACGAUGCGGCGGCAUCGGUACAAGCUGUUCAGUGUGCUCUCGCGCUACGUCACGCCGUCUAUCAGCAGGCACAGCUGAACGUGAACACCUGGCUGCUGGAGGUGGCCGUUGAGUGCAACGAUAACGAUCUGGCCCUCCUAUCGAUGCUACAUCCCGCCUUGAACGGACACGAACACUCGACGGAACUCUGCGAGCUGCUACAGGUUGGUUCCGUCGCGCUGCGUAAAGGAGCGCCGAAGCAGGCUGGUGCUGAAGGAACUCGGUUCACCGUCACCGUCACCAAGUCUGACAAAACGCUUUGCCCGCGUUGCCGGCGAUUCUUGGUGUCGGAAGCGCAACCGAUCUGUGAACGGUGCAGUACAGUGUUAGGACGACAGUAGCUCUCGGGCGGCUUUCGGAUGCCUGCAAUUGUGGGACUCCAGUCUGGCAAACGGCGGGAAUGGUUUUAAGUUGCUGUAAAUGAUUGUUGCUGAUAAAUGGGUGAAAGGCAAACCGAAGUGGCUUUGUUGUGUACGGUAAAAUGCUUUGCUCAGUAAUGUAAGUAUGUACAGAACGAUGAAAAAUGAAGUUGUAGGGAAAAGAAGAACGGAAAAAUAGAAGCAAACAAAAAUUAAAACCAAAA